rnacentral:ncRNA from 1 species
CAGAAUAAAUUGGUUAAGGGAACGGAACCCACCGGAGCCGUAGCGAAAGCGAGUCUUAAUAGGGCGAUUGUCACUGCUUAUGGACCCGAACCUGGGUAAUCUAUCCAUGACCAGGAUGAAGCUUGGAUGAAACUAAGCAGAGGUCCGAACAUCCUCAAAUAGAGUGUUUUCUACGGUCGCUCCAUGAAUAGCGCAUAGCAGAGCCGCACCUAAUACUCCGG